UAGAGACCCCAGAGAGAGUGGGAGAGUGCUUUCUGGAACGGAAAGAAACUUUCAGGUCUAUGAGUGCUACUGCCAGAACAAACCUCGCUCAGAUGCCCUCUGGAGGCAAUGUUCAGAUUCAGCUUUCAUCCAGGAGUUAAAAAAAGAAGCUGGAUCAUAAACUAGGUCUGGACUCAUAUUUGCUGAAACCUGUUCAACGUUUAACCAAGUACCAGCUUCUUCUGAUGGUGCUUAACCAGAACAA